UACGUAGGGGGCAAGCGUUAUCCGGAUUUACUGGGUGUAAAGGGGGCGCAGACGGCGAUGCAAGCCAGGAGUGAAAGCCCGGGGCCCAACCCCGGGACUGCUCUUGGAACUGCGUGGCUGGAGUGCAGGAGGGGCAGGCGGAAUUCCUGGUGUAGCGGUGAAAUGCGUAGAUAUCAGGAGGAACACCGGUGGCGAAGGCGGCCUGCUGGACUGCAACUGACGUUGAGGCCCGAAAGCGUGCGGAGCAAACAGG
rnacentral:rRNA from 1 species